GUAGCAUAAUCAUUAGUUUUUUAAUUGGAAACUUGUAUGAAAGGUUGGACAAAGGAAAAACUGUCUUUAAGAAUAUAAAUUGAAAUUUACUUUUAAGUGAAAAGGCUUAAAUGUUUCAAAGGGACGAUAAGACCCUAUAAAGCUUUAUAUAUUAUUUAAAUUUGGUUGAGUUAAAUAUAAAGAUUAAGUUUAAUUAUUUUAUUUUGUUGGGGCGAUGUGAGUAGAAUUAAUAUUAACUACUUAAGGAGGAAUACAAUUAUAAAUGAUUUAAUAUAUAAUGAUCCUUUUUAUAAAGAUUAAAAGACUAAGUUACUUUAGGGAUAACAGCGUAAUUUUUUUUAAGAGUUCAUAUCGAAAAAAAAGUUUGCGACCUCGAUGUUGAAUUAAAAUAUCUAUAUAAUGCAGCCGUUAUAGAAGAAGGUCUGUUCGACCUUUAAAUUUUU
rnacentral:rRNA from 1 species